CCUACGGGAGGCAGCAGUGAGGAAUAUUGGUCAAUGGGCGAGAGCCUGAACCAGCCAAGUCGCGUGAAGGAUGAAGGAGCUAUGGUUUGUAAACUUCUUUUAUAUGGGGAUAAAGUGAGGAACGUGUUCCUUAUUGUAGGUACCAUAUGAAUAAGCAUCGGCUAACUCCGUGCCAGCAGCCGCGGUAAUACGGAGGAUGCGAGCGUUAUCCGGAUUUAUUGGGUUUAAAGGGUGCGUAGGUGGGUAAGUAAGUCAGCGGUGAAAGUUUGGGGCUCAACCAUAAACUAGCCGUUGAAACUGGUUGACUUGAGUAUACUUGAGGUAGGCGGAAUGCGUGGUGUAGCGGUGAAAUGCAUAGAUAUUACGCAGAACUCCGAUUGCGAAGGCAGCUUACUAACCUAUAUCUGACACUGAGGCACGAAAGCGUGGGGAUCAAACAGGAUUAGAUACCCGAGUAGUC
rnacentral:rRNA from 1 species